rnacentral:rRNA from 1 species
ACUCAAAUGAAUAGACGGGGGCCCGCACAAGCGGUGGAGCAUGUGGUUUAAUUCGACGCAACGCGCAGAACCUUACCAGGGUUUGACAUCCUGUGCUCAGUCCUUAAAGGGACCUUCCCCGCAAGGGGCGCAGAGACAGGUGCUGCAUGGCUGUCGUCAGCUCGUGUCGUGAGAUGUUGGGUUAAGUCCCGCAACGAGCGCAACCCUCGCCUUUAGUUGCCAUCAUUCAGUUGGGCACUCUAGAGGGACCGCCGGCGACAAGCCGGAGGAAGGUGGGGAUGACGUCAAGUCCUCAUGGCCCUUACACCCUGGGCUACACACGUGCUACAAUGGUGGUGACAGUGGGCAGCUACUUCGCGAGAAGCGGCUAAUCCCAAAAAACCACCCCAGUUCAGAUUGCAGUCUGCAACUCGACUGCAUGAAGGUGGAAUCGCUAGUAAUCGCAGAACAGCAGGCUGCGGUGAAUACGUUCCCGGGCCUUGCACACACCGCCCGU